rnacentral:lncRNA from 1 species
GCGGCAAAAACUGUCCAAAUUUUACUUAUUUCCUAAACCUAACACUGCUAUGACAGAAACAGGAAAAGAAACUAAGGCAUUUGCUGAAUUGUAAAGAAAUCAAAAUGUGUUUUGAAAUACACCAGAGGGAUGACCAUGUCCCUGGUAAGCCAGGGGUAACAGUUUAGGUGACAGCAAGAAAUUUGGGCAGUUGGAGGCCAACCUCCCACCCCUACCUAUUUAUUCCCUGCCCAGAGGUGGGAGAGGCAGGCAGAUGGAGAAAGAGUAAUCAAGACCUAUAAGGAUACGUAGGUUGUCGUCUGUCAAUAGUGACAACUUCCUGUCUCUCAUCUUGAAACAGUUUGAAUUUCACUUUCCUUUGUCAUUCAAAAAGCAGGGUUGGAGAUGGGGAAAACAGCCAAAGGGACAUCAAGGGAGAGGAAAAGAGAAAGCAGAAGGAAGGAGGAGAUGAAUCCACCAACUGGCCAGUUAUCCCCCAUUCAGACCCUUGUCACAGACAUUCCCUGGAAUAAGCGCUGACGCUGAUGAACUCCCUGGCCAGUGCAGAAACAUUCUCCAAGGGAGAGGCCACACUCACAUUGUCGGCCUGGGGCACUGGGCAGACAGCAAAUCGUUCCCAGGCCCUCAGCUGAGUCAUUCAGACCAGGAGACCAGGGGGGAUGCUGACAUUCCACCUAAACCUCUGAAGUUCCCUGUGAAUGUAGAUAUUCUUUUCUUUCUGUUGUUUUGUUUUUUGUUUGUUUUUUGAGAUGGAGUCUCACUCUGUCACCCAGGCUGUAGUGCAGUGGCACAAUCUCAGCUCACUGCAACCUCCGCCUCCCGGGUUCAAGUGAUUCUCCUGCCUUACCCUCCUAAGGAGCUGGGAUUACAGGCACGCGCCACCACACCCAGCUAAUUUUUGUAUUUUUAGUAGAGACGGGGUUUCAUCAUGUUGGCCAGGCUAGUCUCAAACUCCUGACCUCAAGUGAUCUGCCGCCUCAGCCUCCCAAAGUGCUAGGAUUACAGGCGUGAGCCACCGCAGCUGGCUGGUAUUCUUUUCUAGAGCAGUCAAGCUUUAUGUCUGCCUGUGAGACUUUGUUAAGCCUUUACCCUCAAAGAGCUUGUCUCCCCUCAUUUAGAAAAUGGCAAAACCCCACAGUCUAUUGGAUUCACAGGAAGAUUUGGGGACACAAUGCUGGUCAAGUGGCUAAACAUGAUACUCCAUGCACAGGAUGUUCUUAUUUCAUCCAGAUGCUAUUGUGAAAAAGAAAUACCAAGCCCUCGGCCAUCUUCUAUGUCACUAGAGUAACCAAGUCAUCAGGGUGGCUAUUGGGUGACCAGUCUCCUCAGGACUUUAGGCAGAAAUUAGGUAUUAAGCCUACUGAGAGUCCCACAGAGCAAUCCAAUCCCUUCGCACUUCUUUAUUAUUUGAUUUAUAAUUUUUAGUGUACUUCAAGCAAUGUUUUCAAUUAAAGGCUGCCAGGUGGCAUGCUUCAUAAGCCCUUGAUGAUCUGAGAAUGCCCUUGUAGGAAGAACUUUUCUUGAGUGGAAGGAACAGAUACACACUCUCAUAUCCAGGAGGAUUUACUGGAAGGACACAGGACAAAAUUCAAAGGAUGACAGGGCUUCGUGAGCACAAAAAAGGCACUGAAACAGCUGCCCUGUCUCUGUGUGUGGCUUCUCUGCUCCUCUCUGACCCCACUCAGCAUCCCUGCCUCCUCGUAGCUUCUGGCCCUCUGCAAUAUCAGUUUACACAUUGCCAGACUGGGGAGCCGCUGACAACACCCCCAUCUCUGUGACUCUCUACCUCGAGUCCUCAAAACCAACUGCAACAUUUUCUCUAUCCCAAAAUCCUCGAAGAAGAAUCUAGCUGGCCCACCUCAUCCCUGUUUACCAGAUCUUAAAUCGCAGGUUACUUCUGAGGGAUGGCCACUCCUACUCCUACCACUUUAGCAGGAGAUGGCAAGGCCACCUGGGCUCAAAGGCCUUCCUACUCCAUAGGUCCUUCCAGGUCAAGACUAUUCUGUGAGAAGAGGGCUUGUCCAGGGCAGGCACCCUAAAGCAUUUUUAGAGAAGUCGUUCAGUUGGCUUCAAACACUAAAACAAUUUAACUGGAUAUAAAAUUCUUGAAUCAUAGUCUUUCCCUCUCAGUACUCAAUAGGCCUUGUUCCACUGUUUUUUUGGCCUGAGGUAUUGCCAGGCAGAUGUCCUACACCUUUUUUCUCUUCCUAAGUAACCCUUGUCUCUUGUGUGGAUCCUUGUGUACCUUUUUCUUUUGUUCCAUAAUUCAAAAAUUACAGCAGAAUGUGCCUCCACAUGGCUCUCUUUCUGUGAUUUUCUUUUUUCCAGACAGGGUCCUCCUCUGUCACGCAGGCUGGAGUACAGUGGUGCAAUCUUGGCUCACUAUAGCCUCUGCCUCCCAGGUUCAAGCAAUUCUCCUGCCUCAGCCUCCUGAAUAGUUGGGAUUACAGAAGUCCACCACCUCACUCGGCUAAUUUUUGUAUUUUUGGUAGAGACGGGGUUUCACCAUGUUGGCCAGGCUGGUCUCAAACUCCUGAUCUCAGGUGAUUCACCUGCCUCGGCCUCCCAAAGUGCUGGGAUUACAGGCAUUAGCCACUGUGCCCAGCCCCUUCUACUAUGUAUUUUGCUUGUAAUAUGGUUAGUCCUUUUAAAUCCAGGACAGCUUCUUCUUUAUGUUGGCCUUUUUAAUGCUUCUGCUCUCAUUGUUCAGGUUUUACAGUUAUCUCUAGUAUUUAUUAUUUUCUCUCAAUAUUUGUAUCUCCUUUUCUACAAUGUAGAAGACAAUCUCAAGACUGUCUUCCUCAUAGGAGUAUUUUCAAGUGUCACUUUUGAUCUUCAUGUUCUCCAAAGAGAACUUUAAUUAUGUGAUUGCAUCCUUGUUUUUCCAGAAAUGCUUUAUUUCCCUUAACUCCAUUUUUCUUCCCUUCUUAUCCUCUAUUUAAGGCUUAUUACUCUUAUUUCAUAUAUGCCACAUGAGACUAAAGUUUUAAAAUAUUU